GAUUAUCGCCGCCGCAAGCAAGUCCAGUGUGUGCGGUUUAUGAGUGAUUCGUAGAAAGCGCAGGACAGAGAGCGAUGCGUGAAAGAAAGGCAGAUGUUGAGCAAAUGGCGAGCCUGUACACAGAUGCGUAGUCGCAAAGAAAGAAGACAGCCUGGAUGCCGAAACGACGUGGCUUCCCGCGAGGUUCUAGUGCAUUUCAACAAUUAGAACGGUCAGUUAACUGCCUUUAUUGUUCACAAGAGAGAGUAUUGAAAAAUGUAGC